rnacentral:lncRNA from 1 species
ACCUCUCCAAACUUCGUCCAACUCUCAUAAAGAGUCCCCACCAGCAGACCAGUGGCUUGGAGCCCAGUGGGUGCCCAGUGCUGGAUGGAGAAUUCAGCCCUGGCCCCCAGCUGUUGCCCUUGAGGUUUAUACAGCUGCUGGGGACAGCAGGGGGAGCGAGGGGUUGGGGGCACAGCUUUGCAAGCGCCUCGGUCCCGCAGCAGGGUCAGAGGUGGACGCGUUUGGGCUAAAAGAGGAACAGGUCCCAUGGAAGCUGGGGAGCCCCUUCAGCAUGCCAAAAAGCCCAACACCACAGCAGGAAAAUCCACGGCAAGGUGCUGGUUUCUCCUUACCCAGCUGCCUCCUGCAUCCCUGGGCUCCAGCAUCUGCCGCGGGCAGGCGGCCGGGCGACUCCAUCCCCUUGGCGACCCAUGGGACCACAGGGGACACGAGCCGAAACACACUGAACCUUGAAACUAAAGAAGCCUCAAACCUGUCAUUAAAGCAGCUGCAUUGGCAAUAAAUUUAGUAUUUAAAGAAGUUCGUCGACUGUUUAAAAUGCAGCGAGAGUAGCUAUGGGAACAACUUCAACAGGGUUUUAUCGUGCUGAAACGUGACCCUGUAAAGACAUGCAGAAAGGCUCCUGGAAGCACUGACACUUUUUCUCUCAAAGGAAAGAGUUAAGCCUGUUUCAGAUCGGCUAGCAAAAUGAACCAGGAGCAGUCAGGCAGCUCAGUUACAGGCUGUAAAUAUAAAUGAAAAUGCAUUGGCUUUGUGAGAUUGCAGGGGGGGAAACAAAACAAAACAAAACACGACAAACACAACAGACUGUAAAUUUAGAUCUGGGAUAUAAACAAAGUGCUUUUUCUUUUGAAACAUUUGGAAAAUACAUUGAUGUUAUCUGAAUAUAUGACAGUAGAAGUAGUGGUAAUAACAUGUUUUAAAAACUGAAAAAGGUGAAAAAAUGCCAUGUAAGGCUUUUGGGAAACAAAACACUUUUCUUAGUGAAAGGAGCAGGAAUAAAGGGAAAACUGAAAAUAUUUAUCUUUCCGAU